rnacentral:rRNA from 1 species
GAUAAACGCUGGCGGCGUGCUUUAUGCAUGCAAGUCGAACGGUCCUUCGCCCUUCGGGGUGAAAGAUAGUGGCAAACGGGUGAGUAACGCUUAAGUAACCUGCCCCUAAGUAGGGGAUAACUCUGAGAAAUUAGAGCUAAUACCUUAGUGGUCCUUCGCUGUAAGGUGAAGGACUAAAGCCUUCGGGCGCUUGGGGAGGGGCUUGCGUCCGAUUAGCUAGUUGGUAGAGUAACGGUUUACCAAGGCGAUGAUCGGUAGCUGGUCUGAGAGGAUGGUCAGCCACAUUGGGACUGAGACACGGCCCAAACUCCUACGGGAGGCAGCAGCAAGGAAUUUUGUGCAAUGGGCGAAAGCCUGACACAGCGACGCCGCGUGGGGGAUGAAAGCUUUCGGGUUGUAAACCCCUUUUCUCAGGGAGGAAUAAUGACAGUACCUGAGGAAUAAGCCACGGCUAACUACGUGCCAGCAGCCGCGGUAAAACGUAGGUGGCAAGCGUUAUCCGGAUUUAUUGGGCGUAAAGAGGGCGCAGGCGGCUUUUCAAGUCGGACGUAAAAUCUCCCAGCUUAACUGGGAGGGGUCAUUCGAUACUGUUAAGCUAGAGUGCAACAGGGGGAGGUAGAAUUCCCGGUGUAGUGGUGAAAUGCGUAGAUAUCGGGAGGAAUACCAGUGGCGAAGGCGGCCUCCUGGGUUGUUACUGACGCUUACGCCCGAAGGCGUGGGGAGCAAACAGGAUUAGAUACCCUGGUAGUCCACGCUGUAAACUAUGGACACUGGGUAUAGGGAGUAUCGACCCUCUCUGUGCCGAAGCUAACGCGUUAAGUGUCCCGUCUGGGAACACGGCCGCAAGGCU